UACGUAGGGGGGCUAGCGUUGUCCGGAUUUAUUGGGCGUAAAGAGCGUGUAGGCGGCUAGGUAGGUCCGUUGUGAAAACUCGAGGCUCAACCUCGAGACGCCGGUGGAAACCGUCUAGCUAGAGUCCGGAAGAGGAGAGUGGAAUUCCUGGUGUAGCGGUGAAAUGCGCAGAUAUCAGGAGGAACACCAAUGGCGAAGGCAGCUCGCUGGGACGGUACUGACGCUGAGGCGCGAAAGCGUGGGGAGCAAACAGG
rnacentral:rRNA from 1 species